GCGGGAUUAGUUGAUCGGCUCAAUGUCUGCUUUCCAAGCAGAAGAGACGGGUUCGACUCCCGUAUCCCGCU
rnacentral:tRNA from 1 species